GGUUCUAUGGUGUAAUGGUUAGCACUCUGGACUCUGAAUGCAGUGAUCUGAGAUCAAAUCUCAGUAAGACCU
rnacentral:tRNA from 1 species